rnacentral:ncRNA from 1 species
GCAGUCGGUCGCGACUGGCGUUGAGGUGGGUACCACCGGGGAGCGACUGCAACACCGGACAUCGGGACCGUUCGCCUGGGCCCCACGU